GACGAACGCUGGCGGCAUGCCUAAUACAUGCAAGUCGAGCGAACAGAUGAAGUGCUUGCACUUCUGACGUUAGCGGCGAACGGGUGAGUAACACGUAAGGAAUCUACCUAUAAGCGGGGGAUAACAUUCGGAAACGGGUGCUAAUACCGCAUAAUAUCUUCUUCCGCAUGGAAGAAGAUUGAAAGACGGCUCUGCUGUCACUUAUAGAUGACCUUGCGGUGCAUUAGUUAGUUGGUGGGGUAAUGGCCUACCAAGACGAUGAUGCAUAGCCGACCUGAGAGGGUGAUCGGCCACAUUGGGACUGAGACACGGCCCAAACGCCUACGGGAGGAAGCAGUAGGGAAUCUUCCGCAAUGGGCGAAAGCCUAACGGAGCAAUGCCGCGUGAGUGAAGAAGGCCUUCGGGUCGUAAAACUCUGUUAUAAGAGAAGAACAAAUUGUAGAGUAACUGCUACAGUCUUGACGGUAUCUUAUCAGAAAGCCACGGCUAACUACGUGCCAGCCGCCGCCGUAA
rnacentral:rRNA from 1 species